rnacentral:rRNA from 1 species
GUAUGCGAUCAUUUCAGCACUUAUGCAUCGGAUUCCAUUGGAAUUCCGCAGUUAAGCCUGCUUGGACGAUGUGUAGUAGUUUUAUACC